GUUACUCUGAGCUGAUCUCACCUGUGACUGGUGUUACCUGAACCCUCUGUGUUUGUGUCUUCUCCUCUGAGCUAUGUACCUCCACCCAGGUCGACCAUCGUCUUCUGAUGAUCUCUCUGUGCUGUGAGGAGAUUUAAGUCCUUCCAGGCUGGACUUUUUACAUCCAUGGAUCACUCGUGCAGAACUUUUUGAAUAGCCUGAGUGAAGCAGCAGUUACUGUGUGCAGCAACAUGAGACUCCGCCCCCUUGGCAUCAUCUUGGCAACGGGCGUCGGACUGAUGUAUCCAGGCGUGACUCUUCAGCUGUGUUAUUCAGCAUCAGCAGCACGUUAGACAUAAAGAGGCAGAGGGGGAAUCUAGCAGUGUCCCAAUCCAGGGGCUGCAGCCUUCGAAGGCUGCAUUUGAAGACCGAUUGCGUCACAUCGGCGCGUUGAAGGCUGUCCCAAUUCGAAGGCAUCUCCAGAUGCGACCGACAAAUCUGUCCUACUUUUCCACGGCUGCGAAGGACACAUCCGGUGAAUCCUUCACAACCUCACAUAUCCCAGCAUUUAUUGUGCGUGAAUUCAGGAUGACAAACAGGAUGGCAGACGAGAAGGACACACCGGAGGAUUUCACCUUUAAAUGUGAGGAUUUUGUUUAAACAUGAAUGAAACAGCUUGCGAUACAGAUUUUAAAAAGGAAAGAGGCAUUUUUACUCAAAAUACAAGAUGUUACAAGUUACGUGAUCUUAGUAUUAUUAAUCAGAUAGCUAACAGGAGCUACUACAACUAUUGCAGUUUAUAGCUUCAGUUGGAUAAAGACACCCAAACUGUAAAACGUUAAUAACGUUACAAGUUAAAACAAAUAAGCUCUGUCUGGUUUGCAUACAGUUCAAUAUCACCUAAAUACAAAAAAAGAUAGAUUUCACAGGUAGCCUGAGCUGAAUUAUUAUUAUUUUUCCACAUAGGUGUGUUUGUGAAGUGCAUUGAUUUGAUGUGACGCUGUGAUCAGGUUGUCCUUGACGUUGCUGUUGAGACGAAUCACUAUUGUUAUGAGGUUUGGACCAAUCAGAAUCAAGCAUUCAUACAUCCAGGUAAUCAAAUGAAAAUAUAAUGUAACCAUCGCAAUCCUCUGGGCAUCAUUGCUAUCAUCACCACAUGUCAGACAGUGCAUUCAAAAGCUGUUAAUGUAUAAAUCUGGGCGUACAUUUUGUAAUAAUUUGAUACUGUUAUUGAUCUGAAAAGAGAUGAUCAGUGUUUUUUUUUAGCUGUGACUCAGGUCUGUAUGCAUUAAACUACAUCACCAUCUUCUCCUCUUAAUCCAGAAACAUCACCAGACAAGCUCUCUGCAUACACCGCCCCGCUCUGUAUCAUUAAUAGACUCCCUGGCCCUGUCUCAGGUUUCCCUCACUUAGCUUAGCAUUGCCAUAAAAACAAAAGGCCAGAUCAUCAAGAGUACAGCGUGUUCAGAUACAGUUUCACCCCUGCAGCAAUUCUAACACAGUGAGGCAGGCCUUCCUUCACACCCACAGACGGGGUAUUGUUUGUCUGGUUUGGUGACCUUUGACCCUUCAUAGAUGGUAGAUUAAACAGAGAUAUUGUCAGGAGACUGUCACGUCUUGUGCUCUCGUUGUUUAUUUUUGUUGUGUACAGCUCAAGAUCAAAAGGAUUCGUCUCUCAGUGCCUCUCUUCUGUUUCAUUGUCCUGCGGUCGUCUCAUCCAACUGUCUUUUCUUUGUUUCCUCCACACUGUAAACACGGACAGAUUACAGAUUUCAUGUGGGUGUCUGUUGUCUGUUUCCUGUGAGAUAUACUCCAGCGUUACCAGCCAAGGACCCAAUUAGAGUUUCUGAAAUCUACCACCAA